rnacentral:tRNA from 1 species
GGCGCGAUGGAGUAACGGUAUCUCAGGAGAUUGCUAAUCUCUCCAUCGGGCAAACCGAUGUCCACGUUCGAAUCGUGGUCGCGCCG